rnacentral:piRNA from 1 species
UGCAUUCCUGAUACCUCCUGACUGACCU